AUGGGGAGGGGGAGGGUGGAGCUGAAGCGGAUCGAGAACAAGAUCAACCGCCAGGUCACCUUUGCCAAGCGCAGGAACGGCCUGCUCAAGAAGGCCUACGAGCUCUCCGUGCUAUGCGACGCCGAGGUCGCGCUCAUCGUCUUCUCCAACCGCGGCAAGCUCUACGAGUUCUGCAGCACCCAGAGCAUGACGAAGACACUCGACAAGUAUCAAAAAUGCAGUUAUGCAGGACCUGAAACUACUGUGCAGAACAGAGAAAAUGAGCAACUGAAAAACAGUCGCAAUGAGUACCUGAAACUAAAGGCACGGGUUGAUAAUUUACAGCGAACACAAAGGAAUUUGCUUGGUGAAGAUCUUGAUUCAUUAGGCAUAAAAGAGCUCGAGAGCCUUGAGAAGCAACUUGAUUCGUCCUUGAAGCACAUUCGAACAACAAGGACACAACAUAUGGUUGACCAAUUGACAGAACUCCAGAGAAGGGAACAAAUGUUUUCGGAGGCAAAUAAAUGUCUUCGUAUAAAAUUGGAGGAGAGCAACCAAGUUCAUGGGCAGCAGCUCUGGGAGCACAACAACAAUGUACUGAGCUAUGAACGUCAGCCGGAAGUGCAGCCGCCGAUGCACGGCGGCAAUGGAUUCUUCCACCCCCUUGAUGCUGCUGGUGAACCCACACUUCACAUAGGGUACCCUCCCGAGUCCCUGAGUAACUCAUGCAUGACUACUUUCAUGCCCCCGUGGUUGCCUUGA
rnacentral:rRNA from 1 species